AGAGUUUGAUCCUGGCUCAGGAUGAACGCUGGCGGCGUGCCUAACACAUGCAAGUCGAACGAAGCUUGGGGAACGGAGAUUCGUCGAAGAGAACCAAGACUUAGUGGCGGAUGGGUGAGUAAUGUAUGAGCAACCUGCCUUUCAGAGGGGGACAACAGUUGGAAACGACUGCUAAUACCGCGUAACGUAGUGAGGGGGCAUCCCCUUAUUACCAAAGGAGCAAUCCGCUGAAAGAUGGGCUCAUAUCUGAUUAGCUUGUUGGCGGGGUAACGGCCCACCAAAGCGACGAUCGGUAGCCGGUCUGAGAGGAUGGACGGCCACAUUGGGACUGAGACACGGCCCAGACUCCUACGGGAGGCAGCAGUGGGGAAUAUUGCACAAUGGGGGAAACCCUGAUGCAGCGAUGCCGCGUGAAGGAUGACGGUUUUCGGAUUGUAAACUUCUAUCAGCGAGGAAGAGAACGGACAGUACUCGAACAAGCAGCCCCGGCUAACUACGUGCCAGCAGCCGCGGUAAUACGUAGGGGGCAAGCGUUAUCCGGAAUUACUGGGUGUAAAGGGUGUGCAGGCGGCUUUGCAAGUUUGAUGUGAAAUCCCGGGGCUUAACUCCGUGCAUGCAUCGAAAACUACAGAGCUAGAGUACAGGAGAGGAGAGCGGAAUUCCUAGUGUAACGGUGAAAUGUGUAGAUAUUAGGAAGAACACCAGUGGCGAAGGCGGCUUUCUGGACUGAAACUGACGCUGAGACACGAAAGCGUGGGGAGCAAACAGGAUUAGAUACCCUGGUAGUCCACGCUGUAAACGAUGAAUACUAGGUGUUGGGGCCGUAGGCCUCGGUGCCGCAGUUAACGCAAUAAGUAUUCCACCUGGGGAGUACGGCCGCAAGGCUGAAACUCAAAGGAAUUGACGGGGGCCCGCACAAGCGGUGGAGCAUGUGGAUUAAUUCGACGCAACGCGAAGAACCUUACCAGGCUUUGACAUCCCUCUGAAUACUGCAGAGAUGCGGUAGGCCUUCGGGACAGAGGAGACAGGUGGUGCAUGGUUGUCGUCAGCUCGUGUCGUGAGAUGUUGGGUUAAGUCCCGCAACGAGCGCAACCCUUAUUGACAGUAGCCAGCGCGUAGUGGUGGGCACUCUGUUAAGACUGCCGGGGAUAACUCGGAGGAAGGUGGGGAUGACGUCAAAUCAUCAUGCCCCUUAUAGCCUGGGCUUCACACGUGCUACAAUGGUUGUCACAAAGAGAAGCGAACCCGCGAGGGAGAGCAAAGCUCAAAAAGGCAGUCUCAGUUCGGAUUGCAGGCUGCAACCCGCCUGCAUGAAGCUGGAAUCGCUAGUAAUCGCGAAUCAGCAUGUCGCGGUGAAUACGUUCCCGGGCCUUGUACACACCGCCCGUCACACCAUGGGAGUUUAGAGCACCCGAAGUCAGUGAGGUAACCGCAAGGAGCCAGCUGCCGAAGGUGAGCUAAGUAACUGGGGUGAAGUCGUAACAAGGUAACC
rnacentral:rRNA from 1 species